GUUUGGCUAGCUCAGUUGGUAGAUCAUGAGACUCUUAAUUUCAGGGUCAUGGGUUCAAGCCUCAUGUCGGGCG
rnacentral:tRNA from 1 species